rnacentral:rRNA from 1 species
UACAGAGGGGGCGAGCGUUGUUCGGAAUUACUGGGCGUAAAGGGCGCGUAGGCGGCCCGCUAAGUCGAACGUGAAAUCCCCAGGCUCAACCUGGGAACUGCGUCCGAUACUGGCAGGCUUGAAUCCGGGAGAGGGAUGUGGAAUUCCAGGUGUAGCGGUGAAAUGCGUAGAUAUCUGGAGGAACACCGGUGGCGAAGGCGGCAUCCUGGACCGGUAUUGACGCUGAGGCGCGAAAGCGUGGGUAGCGAACAGG